AGUGCAGUGGUGUUUACAACUAAUUGAUCACAACCAGUUACAGAUUUCUUUGUUCCUUCUCCACUCCCACUGCUUCACU
ensembl:Y_RNA Y_RNA Y RNA